CAGGGGAGAUACUGUGAUCACAAAGGUGGUUUUCCCAGGGUGAGGCUUAUCCUUUGUACGCCAGCAGUGCUGACCCCUGCGAUUUCCCAAAUACGGGAAACUCGACUG
rnacentral:snRNA from 1 species